UACGUAGGGGGCAAGCGUUGUCCGGAUUUACUGGGCGUAAAGAGCGCGCAGGCGGUCGUCCAAGUCGCGUGUGAAAGCCCCCGGCUCAACUGGGGAGGGUCACGCGAUACUGGUCGACUCGAAGGCAGGAGAGGGUAGUGGAAUUCCCGGUGUAGUGGUGAAAUGCGUAGAUAUCGGGAAGAACACCCGUGGCGAAGGCGGUUCUCUGGGACGGUACUGACGCUGAGACGCGAAAGCGUGGGGAGCGAACAGG
rnacentral:rRNA from 1 species